UUUUUUUUUUAGCCGUGAUGGAAGAGCGGAGUUUUCUGCUGCUGCCCUCUGCUGCAGUUCAAAAUGUCAAAACAACAUACAAGACAUAAAGUUGACUCUAGCACGCCUGCUGUCCAGCCGCACUAUCUCUCUUUGCCUGUCUACUCGCUUGUCAGUUCUACGUAGGGGAAAAAAAGGUACGUAAAAAAAACUAGUUUUAUCAACCUUCUUUGCAGUUGUAUUUACUUGAUCGUCGUAUAGUUAUAGUUUCAACCAAACUGGAAUCCCACACGCUUUUUU